rnacentral:rRNA from 1 species
CCUACGGGGGGCAGCAGUGGGGAAUUUUGGACAAUGGGGGCAACCCUGAUCCAGCCAUGCCGCGUGAGUGAAGAAGGCCUUCGGGUUGUAAAGCUCUUUCGGCAGGAACGAAAUGUAAUGUAAUGACGGUACCUGAAGAAGAAGCACCGGCUAACUUCGUGCCAGCAGCCGCGGUAAUACGAAGGGUGCUAGCGUUGUUCGGAAUUACUGGGCGUAAAGCGCACGUAGGCGGAUAUUUAAGUCAGGGGUGAAAUCCCAGAGCUCAACUCUGGAACUGCCUUUGAUACUGGGUAUCUUGAGUAUGGAAGAGGUGAGUGGAAUUCCGAGUGUAGAGGUGAAAUUCGUAGAUAUUCGGAGGAACACCAGUGGCGAAGGCGGCUCACUGGUCCAUUACUGACGCUGAGGUGCGAAAGCGUGGGGAGCAAACAGGAUUAGAUACCCCGGUAGUC